GUUGUGGCUCAGUGGUAGAGUCCUCACUUAGCAAGUGCGAGGCCCUGGGUUCGAUUCUCAGCACACA
rnacentral:tRNA from 1 species